AUGGAGUUUGUGUUUGGCUGGGUUUUCCUUGUUGCUCUUUUAAAAGGUGUCCAGUGUGAGGUGCAGCUCGUGGAGUCUGGGGAAGACCUGCUGAAGCCUGGGGGGUCCCUGAGACUCUCCUGUGCAGCCUCUGGAUUCACCUUCAGUAGCUACAGCAUGAGCUGCGUCCGCCAGGCUCCAGGAAAGGGGCUGCAGUGGGUCUCACAUAUUUUAGCAUUGGUGGUAGGACAUACUGUGCAGACUCUAUGAAGGGCCGAUUCACCAUCUCCAGAGACGACACCAAGAACAUGCUGUAUGUGCAGAUGAACAGCUUGAAAGCCAAGGGCAUGGCUGUGUAUUACUGUGCAAGUGACACAGUCAGUGAU